AUUGAACGCUGGCGGCAGGCUUAACACAUGCAAGUCGAACGAGUGGCGGACGGGUGAGUAAUGGCUGGGAAACUGCCCGAUGGAGGGGGAUAACUACUGGAAACGGUAGCUAAUACCGCAUACCAUCGGAUGUGCCCAGAUGGGAUUAGCUAGUAGGUGGGGUAAUGGCUCACCUAGGCGACGAUCCCUCGCUGGUCUGAGAGGAUGACGAGCAACACUGGAACUGAGACACGGCCCAGACUCCUACGGUAGGAAGCAGUGUGGAAUAUUGCACAAUUGGCGCAAGCCUGAUGCAGCCAUGCCGCGUGUAUGACGACGGCCUUCGGGUUGUAAAGUACGUUCAGCGAGGAGGCGUUACUCGCAGAGUAAGCACCGGCUAACUCCGUGCCCGCAGCCGCGGUAAUUC
rnacentral:rRNA from 1 species